UACGUAGGGUGCAAGCGUUGUCCGGAAUUAUUGGGCGUAAAGAGCUCGUAGGCGGUUUGUCGCGUCGAAUGUGAAAACCCGGGGCUCAACUCCGGGCCUGCAUUCGAUACGGGCAGACUAGAGUUCGGUAGGGGAGACUGGAAUUCCUGGUGUAGCGGUGAAAUGCGCAGAUAUCAGGAGGAACACCGGUGGCGAAGGCGGGUCUCGUGGGCCGAUACUGACGCUGAGGAGCGAAAGCGUGGGGAGCGAACAGGA
rnacentral:rRNA from 1 species